AUACCGGUUAUCCUGCCGGAGGUCACUGCUAUCGGGGUCGAUUAAGCCAUGCGAGUCGAGAGGGUUCAGACCCUCGUGCGGACUGCUCAGUCACACGUGUGAUAACCUGACCUGUGUGUGGAGCAUAACCCCGUGGAAACUGGGGAUAAUACUCCCAUAAGUUACGAUAUCUGUGAAUGCAUUUUGUAGCUCAACAGCUCCGGCGCCAACAGUGAUGGAUCUGCGUGCGAUAUCAUGUAGUAGUUGGGGUAGCAGGCCAAAUAAGCCUUGUACUCGGUUACGGUGUUGUGGGAGCAAGCAGCCCUGGAGUAUGGAAUCUGAGCACACGAUUCCAGGCCCUACGGGGCGCAGCAGGCUGCGAAAACUUUACACUCGCAUGAAACUUGUGACUAAGGGAACCCCCGAGUGACCCUGUACCAACGCGGGCCUGUCUGUGGUGUUUAACAUGCACCACAACGAAAGGGCCGGGCAAGACGAGUGCCAGCCGCGCGGAAUACCGG
rnacentral:rRNA from 1 species